GCAUCGCUGACCUGCCUGACACCUGCUGGCUCAGUGCAGUUGUGAACAGAGCACCUCUUUACUUGCAAGUGUCUCCGUUUGGAUGAAAACUUAUGGUUGCUUAAAAAACACAUCACGCCCAAACGGGGACAUUCCACAAACGACUGACCAGUACUCUUCAAAAGUGUCACAAUCACAAAAGACAAAGAACUGAGGCACUGUGGUGGACCAAAGGCCACAGAAGGGCCUGACCAUCGGGAGGCCGAGUGUCAGCCCCAGGCAGGGGUCCUGGGCAGACAAGGGGUGUGCGCAGGCCUCCUCUGGACGAGGUCUCCAGAUUCCAGUGUUGUUACCUACAUGUAUUUCCCGAUCUUGCUAAUUCUGCUGAGUUAUGAUGCUGAUAUUUGGGGAAUCUGGGUAAAGGGUACACAGGAAUUCUUUGUGCUAAUUUCACAAAGGUUUUUUGUUUGAAACUAUUUCAAAAUGUAGACUUAAAUAAUAUAACAAAAAACACAGAGAAAGAAAUUUUAAAGUUUUAAAAAAACACUUAUGAGAUAACCAGGGAAAUUUGAACCUGAUGGAUAUUAAGAAAGUAUUAAUUUCCAGGUGUGUUAAUGGUAUUGUGUGGUUUUAUUUAACAGAGUCCUUAUCUUUUAGAGAUGUACACCAAAAACAGGAGUGUACACAGACACCCACAUGAACAGUGCUACAUGUUCAUGAAGUUACAGAGUGCCCUGGGGAUUUGCCAAAUGGAAGGAUAGUAGUGAUCAUUAAUUCAGCAGAAUUUUCAAGCUCCCAAGGCAGGCGCUGGGCAAGGGAAUAGCCUGUCCUCCAACGCUCAAGCCAGCUGGUCAGGACAGAGCAACCAACGCAUAGCGCACAGACCUCUGCGAACACAUGGGUGGCUGAGGCUCCCGCCCCAGGGAGGUCUGAGGUGGGUUUAAAAAGGAGGGCUGAGCUGGAUGAAAAAAGGAGCGGGAGGAGGUGCCAAGCAACCUACACCAGGCAGGACAGCAGGGGGCCACAGGGCUGGCCGGGGUAGCAGGAAUGACGUGUGUGCACUCUGCCGCCGUGUGCAGGGGGUGCUCAGGAGGACGUGGGAGAGGUGGACAGGAGCCUUGAAGACCAGAGCUGUUUCAGCUUCCAGGUCACGGGAAGCCAAGCGAGGACCGGAGGCACGUAGAGAUGUGAUCGGUGGACAUUUACAAACACCAUUCUGAUGGUGGCAUAGACCCAAUUACAGGACAAAAUUGGGGCUGAGGCAGGAAGGUCAGGAACAGCCUCUUCAGACUCAGUUUCCUCCUCUGUUACGCUAGUGUGACCUGGGAGCAUCCAAGAUCCCUCUCAAGUCCAAGUCCCUGGGAUUUAUCUUUUCUACACACCACAGCAGGCAGGUAAGAAUCUCUGCACCAAUCCCCAUACCAUCUGUUAAUGAUGAAUAGAACUGACGUCACUUGGAUGCUAUGAUGGUCAGAAGGCUCAUCUGAUUAAAAAUAUCUGCUCAACCCCCACCAGUCUGCCCCCCAGGACUGAAAUUUCCACUGUCACAGUGACACCUGUGGGCUAAGGCUUUAUGACAAAGAGACAUCUGCCUACCCCCACCUCUGCCUCGUACGUGGCACAUGAUAAAAAGGCUUAAGGACUGAUAGUUUUCAUAUUAUGGUUUUAUGACCAGGAGGUUUCUCUUAAAACAGAAUUGCAUGGGGACGCCUGGGUGGCUCAGCGGCUGGGCAUCUGCCUUUGGCUCAGGGCGUGACCCCGGGGUCCUGGGAUCCAAUCCCACAUCAGGCUCCCUGCAUGGAGCUUGCUUCUCCCUCUGUGUCUCUGCCUCUCUCUGUCUCUCAUGAAUAAAUAAAAUCUUAAAAACAAAAUAAAGAAAAACACAGAAAUGUGCUACCAAGGGGAGGAGGGAGGAUAUAGUGCAGAUCAUAGCCCAGACACCCGUAUGGUGGGUUAUCAAUGCCAGGAGGGACCAUGGUAGACAGCACAGGACAGACACAUUCUGAAGGACACUGGUUGUGGGAGGUGGGGAGGAGAUCAGGAGAGAGGUCUGAAAGCCUAGGGACAGCCAGGGGCAGACACAAAGCUAAAGCCUGUCACCCCAACCUCCUGCCUUAAGAGUCUGAGGACAUUUUCAGCCUGGAGGGCUUUCUGGUUACAAGAAUGAGACCUCAAGGAUCUCCAGCAGGGAUCCUCUUCUCUUACCAAACAUGGAAAUGCAAUCGAGUAAGAAUCCUUCACGGCUGUCUCGCCUCCUUGUGAGCAAUAAUUCUGUUGUCUCUAUGUUUUCUGCAUGUUGCUCUGUGGAAGGUUGGCACCGGGACACACUUGAAUCAAACCAAGUUUUCCUUUCUGAUGGGAUCCAAAAGUGUCCCUGGGGCCACGUGUGAAGCUUGGCUUGACUGAGUGACAGCUGGUUCAGCUUAAUCCAAGAACAAAGGACAAGUCCUCCAGGGAUGAUUAGAGGUGAUGGAAACUGAGCUGUGAGAGGAAUGUGAGUGACAGCCGAGACGGAAAAGAGCACUGCCCCAGGGAGCCUGAACGUGGUAGGAAACAAUUCGAAGCGGUUCCCGAGGACUGCCACCUGGAGAACAAUGAGUCACAUUCCAGUGGGCAGGGCUGAGGCCACCUGAUGCGCUCUGUCCGCUGCCCAAGUAUAGCUGUGGUAUCUACUGGCACAGGGUCCCCACAUGGCUCACCUUCCUGCUUUGCAAAACAUACAAUUAUUUUGAUCUCAAGACAACAAAGGAUAAGUAUGACUGUUUCGCAGCCAUUCUAAGACCCUGAACCCAGGAACAACGUUGGGGACGGUGCCUUCUCCAGUUCAGACUGGAGACCCACCAGGACAGAAGCAGUUAAGUGGAAACAGAUCUGCCUCAGGAGUCACGGUUGGCCAGGACUCAAGGUCAAUGAGUUCAACUCAUCAAUUACUUUUUAAAAAGGGCAGAAUGGAGUUAAUAAGAGUCUUGAGCAUAAAAUUUCAAUCCAGUUUAGUUACCAACAAGUGCCAGUGGGCAGAUCACGGCCUCUGCCUGCUUCUCUGAGGUGAAGGGGAUGAUCUGAUGACCAGGCUAACUCCUUCAGCUUCUUCAUGGCGGGACGCUAAUGUGAUGUGUUGUUUUUGUUUUUGUUUUUUUAAUCAAUGUUUUCUGCCUUGAAAGGACAGCUGUCAUCCAUUGAUUUUCCGAGAUACUAGAGAAUUCCCUGAAUUAAUCUAUAAAGUGCAGUUCUAAGCAAAAUCCCAGUAGAGUUUUUGCAGAACUUGGCAAGCUGAUCCUAAAAUUCGUAGAGAGAGAAAAAGUCCAAGAAUACUCAAGACAAUGUUGAAAAGGAAGGAGGGGGCCCCACUUUCCCAGAGAUCAAGACCUUCUGAAACUGUGGUAAGACUAAAACAUCUGGCAGCUCUCUGGGGAAACUGAGGAUAACCAGUUUCCCUUCCUAAGAGCUAAAAUUCCUCUGAAGAAUACUGGUCUUUUUGUCCAGGAGGUGGGCAAUAAAGAGAAGGCAUAAACAAGAUUUCCAAACUGUGCUUUUCAGGCCCCCUGUGUAAGAACCAAGUGGGAGUCACAAGCUGCCCGAGAGAUCUGUCCUGCUCACUCGAAGUGGGCACACCUGAUGGGCAGCGGAGGCCCGGUCCACGGCACAGUUGGCAACGAAGUCAGCAAUACCUCCGAAAGGUGGUUAGCCACUCUCGGAUUGGCUCAGUGGAUAGCAACAACUGGAUGCUUGCAUUUUCCCUGGUACACCCACAGGUCAUGAGUCUACCAGUGCGGGAGUCCCUACGCUGAGAAACGUAACUAGGCCACUGCCACCCAAACGAGCAACUGGCAUUGCAGGGAGGAUGGUGUGUGGAUCUCAGGUGGAGGCACACAAAUGAGCUUUCACAACUAGUGAUCACUAUUCCCCCACCGUGGAGACUCCGAAUUCAUGGUUCUGGCGUGGGGCCAGGACAUUGGGGUUUUUUCAAGCUCCCCUGAUAAUUCUAACAUGGGGCCCUGGUAGAGGCCAUUAGGUCUCCAGAUCUGAGAGGGAGAAUAAGUCACUGAGAUGAGGUUUGUGUAACCUUCCAACCUCUUUUUCCCUUUGGAACCAGCCCCACAGCUGGGAGGGGGAUGGUUAUGAGACUAUGGGGGAAAGAAUGGUGCGUGAGGAGGCCCAGGGCCGGCCAGGGAGUAGCCAGGGUCAUGAAGACCGUUUCCCUCUGCUGGAAAGCUGGAGCCAGCAGCCCCAGCGGCUCCACCCUCUCUCCAUUCCCUAGGGCGCGAGAGAGCCAAGAUCUUCAAUACAUGCUGCCAAGGAGCUCUGAAAAAUGCUCCUCUGGCCCCCACAAGAAAACAUCAGUUGUGCAUUUCUCCUGAAAGAGGACAUGGAAAAAUCAGCCUCGGGGAGCAAAGUCUGACCUGGCACAGAUGCCCUGGAGUCAGAGCCCCGGCGGAUUUCACCUGGCCCUCUUCACCAGCCAAGGAGAGCUAGGGGUCAGCUCUACCCCCGCGUGGGGACCGAGGCUGACUUUGGUGUGAUCCUGAACUUGGCAUCAAGGUCAGCCCUGAAGGCGAGCCAGUGAGGCCAGCUCCAGAACUGACCGGGCUCUCCUGCCAGCCGCGCUGGCUCUGGGCUACUGGGAACCAGCAAGGACUCAGCCUGUCCGUCCUCUCCCUUUACUGGGAAGGAAACCGAGGCACCGACAGGGUGAGGGGCUUGUCCAGUCUCCCCCACUCACCUGGCUUAGUCCCACCCACUGCCCCACCCUCGCAGCCACGUGGUGAGUCAGCUCUGCAGUUGGGGAUAUUUAGCAGUUAGCCAGAUGCUUGGUAAGUGCUAAAUCUACAACCAGGAAACCCACAGAUACCAUGUAAAAUCUGUUCUGGAAGAUAAGGCAAGACUGGAGAGAGACAAAUGGCUUGGAAAAGAAUUUGAAAGAUAAUUUAGAAAAAAAGCUUUCCCAGAGGGAAAGAGAGAAAGAAAUUCGAAUGAGGGCCAGAAUUUCUCAAAGGGUUUUAUUCUUUUGUCAUGGCAAAUGCCACACAUUCAGUGCAGCUGGGAAAUACCGCUUCAAAGGGAAAACAUAGCUCAUGCCCACGGGGUGGCUUAACUAUCUGUCCAGGGGAAGCUGCAGAAUUUACGUUCAAAGCCAUCUUUGAUGUGUCCGUCCUUGGGGCAGGCGGGAAGCGCCUGUGUGCACCAAGGGUGGAGCUCACCUUGAUCUGAAAUGAACCAGCUGUUGCCAUACGUUGGUUAUGAGAAAUCAUAUCAAAACAUUAGGCCAGAGUCUUUAUUUAAUUCUGGAAGUGUCCUUGGUAGAUUAUUUUUGCUUUGACCUCGUUAAUCUAGUGAGCAAUGUACUCAUUACCAUCCUUCAAAAUCUUCAUGUGUCCUUUCUGGAAGACAGACACCAUAAGGAAUUUCACUUGGUGGUAUGUGUGUUCCUUCCAGGACUUGGCACGGUUCUUCAGUUGGUAUUAAGAGUACAAACAUUCUAUUCAGGUGAGGAAAUUUGGGAGAGUGGGUGACGAUGGAAUGAAAUAGUAUCAUCAUCCCUGGUUACUCUAAGAAUGCCAAAGUAAAACCCGGGCAGAUGAGAAUAACUAUCAAAGCAAAACGAACGUAUCUAUUUUCAGAAAGAGAGACUUUAAUCCCAUGACAAUGCUCCAUGACAAUGCUCUUAUUUUUACUCUGUGAAACAGUGAUAGGUGCAGGAGAGCCUGCUAGAUUGAGUGGCUCAGAGAAAAUAAAUCCACAUAGUACUUUGGUCAGUUAAAGGUCACUCACUUAUCCAUACAAAGUUUUUUGGGGCUGGGGCGCCUGGAUGGCUCAGUGGGUUGAGCAUCUGCCUUUGGCUCAGGUCAUGACCCUGGGGGUCCUGGGAUCUAACUCCCCACCCCCAGUCGGGCUCCUGGCUCAGUGGAGGGUCUGCUUCUCCCUCUCUUUCUGCACCCCCUCCCCUGCUAGUGCACGUGCUCUCUCUCAAAAUCUUUUUUUAAAGAUUCAUUUGGUUUGUGGUUCAGUGUGUUUAAUGCUACGAGGAACCUGACAGUGGCUUGAGAGGUUGAGAAGUUUUUGUCUUUCAAGGUGGCUUGGUUGCAAAAUUGCUGAGCUUGCCAAAAGGCAAGGAGAAUCUUUAUUUUUCAUUGCAAAUGUGCCUCUAUCCAGUAAUAACUUUGACCCUGAAGCCCCAACAAAGAAAGUCAAGGGUCACCCAGGGUGAAUGAAGACCCUACUUGUCCUGUUUAAGGCUAUAUGCUUGUUUACUUAACCUCUCAUCUUCUGUCUUGGCAUGCUUUACUUUCUUUUUCUUUUUUUUAAAAGAUUUUAUUUAUUUAUUUAUUAGAGAGAAAGAGAGGCAGAAACACAGGCAGUGGGAGAAGCAGG
rnacentral:lncRNA from 1 species